rnacentral:rRNA from 1 species
UACGAAGGGGCUAGCGUUGCUCGGAAUCACUGGGCGUAAAGCGCACGUAGGCGGAUUGCUAAGUCAGGGGUGAAAUCCUGGAGCUCAACUCCAGAACUGCCUUUGAUACUGGCGACCUUGAGUCCGGGAGAGGUGAGUGGAACUGCGAGUGUAGAGGUGAAAUUCGUAGAUAUUCGCAAGAACACCAGUGGCGAAGGCGACUUACUGGACGAUUGUUGACGCUGAGGUGCGAAAGCGUGGGGAGCAAACAGG